rnacentral:rRNA from 1 species
UAGGGAAUCUUCGGCAAUGGGGGGAACCCUGACCGAGCAACGCCGCGUGAGUGAAGAAGGUUUUCGGAUCGUAAAGCCCUGUUGUUAAGGAAGAACGAGUGUGAGAAUGGAAAGUUCAUACUGUGACGGUACUUAACCAGAAAGGGACGGCUAACUACGUGCCAGCAGCCGCGGUAAUACGUAGGUCCCGAGCGUUGUCCGGAUUUAUUGGGCGUAAAGCGAGCGCAGGCGGUUAGAUAAGUCUGAAGUUAAAGGCAGUGGCUCAACCAUUGUAGGCUUUAGAAACUGGUGAACUUGAGUGCAGAAAGGGAGAGUGGAAUUCCAUGUGUAGCGGUGAAAUGCGUAGAUAUAUGGAGGAACACCGGUGGCGAAAGCGGAUCUCUGGUCUGUAACUGACGCUGAAGCUCGAAAACGUGGGGAGCGAACAGG